rnacentral:tRNA from 1 species
GGAUGGAUGUCUGAGCGAGUUGAAAGAAGAGCGGUCUUGAAAACCGAAGUAUUUUUAGAAAUACCGGGGUUGAAAUCCCUCUCAUCCG